rnacentral:ncRNA from 1 species
UGUGCCGCCGGACGGUGGCGACCGCGAGACGUUGGGGAGCGUCGGUGACCGGCCGCCUCCGGAAUGCCGGACCGCAGCCCAGGGACUGCGACCGUGCGCUCGGCGAAGGAG